UUGUAGGUGCAGCGGAUCGGCCGUAG
rnacentral:piRNA from 1 species